rnacentral:rRNA from 1 species
UGAGUAACCUGCCCUUGACUCUGGGAUAAGCACUGGAAACGGUGUCUAAUACCGGAUACGAGCUUCAGCCGCAUGGCUAGGAGUUGGAAAGAAUUUCGGUCAAGGAUGGACUCGCGGCCUAUCAGCUAGUUGGUGAGGUAAUGGCUCACCAAGGCGACGCGGGGUACCGCGNGNGNGNGCGCNCNCNGACGUGACGACGACCGG